GAGAGAGAGAGAGAGAGAGAGAGAGAGAGAGAGUGGUGGAGUACACUGAACUGGAGAGUGAGGCACCCUGGGAAACCCAGAAGCGUCCCCCCCUCCCCCCCCCUCCUCCUGAUUGGCCCAGCAAAGGCCUGGUGACCUUUGACCAGGUCAGCUUCUCCUACAGCACUGAAGGACCGCUAGUGCUGCAGAGCCUGAAAGAGAAGGUUGGUAAUGUGUGUAGAACAGGUGCUGGGAAUAGCUCUCUGGUCUUGGCUCUCUUCCUCCUGGCUGAGCCUCGGGGGAAGAUCUACAUCGAUGGUGUUCUGACCUCAGAGAUCGGCCUCCACGACCUGCACAAGAAGGUUCUAGAUGCAGGGAAGAUGCAUGCCUAGGAUGAGCUUCAAGAUCCAGAUGGCAUCUUUUAUAAAAUGGUGCAGCAGACUGGCAAGCAGGAGGCAGCAGCUCUGCUAGAGGCAGCUA